rnacentral:rRNA from 1 species
UGGGGAAUAUUGCACAAUGGGCGCAAGCCUGAUGCAGCCAUGCCGCGUGUGUGAAGAAGGCCUUCGGGUUGUAAAGCGCUUUCAGCGAGGAGGAAGGUGGUGAGCUUAAUACGCUCAUCAAUUGACGUUACUCGCAGAAGAAGCACCGGCUAACUCCGUGCCAGCAGCCGCGGUAAUACGGAGGGUGCAAGCGUUAAUCGGAAUUACUGGGCGUAAAGCGCACGCAGGCGGUUUGUUAAGUCAGAUGUGAAAUCCCCGGGCUCAACCUGGGAACUGCAUUUGAAACUGGCAAGCUAGAGUCUCGUAGAGGGGGGUAGAAUUCCAGGUGUAGCGGUGAAAUGCGUAGAGAUCUGGAGGAAUACCGGUGGCGAAGGCGGCCCCCUGGACGAAGACUGACGCUCAGGUGCGAAAGCGUGGGGCAGCAAACAGGAUUAGAUACCCUGGUAGUCCAGCGCUGUAAACGAUGUCGAUUUGGAGGUUGUGCCCUUGAGGCGUGGCUUCCGGAGCUAACGCGUUAAAUCGACCGCCUGGGGAGUACGGCCGCAAGGUUAAAACUCAAAUGAAUUGAC